AUUGAACGCUGGCGGCAGGCCUAACACAUGCAAGUCGAGCGGAUGAAGGGAGCUUGCUCCUGGAUUCAGCGGCGGACGGGUGAGUAAUGCCUAGGAAUCUGCCUGGUAGUGGGGGAUAACGUCCGGAAACGGGCGCUAAUACCGCAUACGUCCUGAGGGAGAAAGUGGGGGAUCUUCGGACCUCACGCUAUCAGAUGAGCCUAGGCGGAUUAGCUAUUUGGUGGGGUAAAGGCCUACCAAGGCGACGAUCCGUAACUGGUCUGAGAGGAUGAUCAGUCACACUGGAACUGAGACACGGUCCAGACUCCUACGGGAGGCAGCAGUGGGGAAUAUUGGACAAUGGGCGAAAGCCUGAUCCAGCCAUGCCGCGUGUGUGAAGAAGGUCUUCGGAUUGUAAAGCACUUUAAGUUGGGAGGAAGGGCAGUAAGUUAAUACCUUGCUGUUUUGACGUUACCAACAGAAUAAGCACCGGCUAACUUCGUG
rnacentral:rRNA from 1 species